CGUUGUUCGGAAUUACUGGGCGUAAAGGGCUCGUAGGCGGCCAACUAAGUCGGACGUGAAAUCCCCAGGCUCAACCUGGGAACUGCGUCCGAUACUGGAUGGCUGGAAUCCGGGAGAGGGAUGCAGAAUUCCAGGUGUAGCGGUGAAAUGCGUAGAUAUCUGGAGGAAUACCGGUGGCGAAGGCGGCAUCCUGGACCGGCAUUGACGCUGAGGAGCGAAAGCCAGGGGAGCAAACGGG
rnacentral:rRNA from 1 species